CGAGCGCAACCCUCGACCUUAGUUGCCAGCAUUCAGUUGGGCACUCUAAGGUGACUGCCGGCUAAAAGUCGGAGGAAGGUGGGGAUGACGUCAAAUCAUCAUGCCCCUUAUGACCUGGGCUACACACGUGCUACAAUGGGCGGUACAAAGGGUCGCGAACCCGCGAGGGGGAGCCAAUCCCAAAAAGCCGCUCUCAGUUCGGAUUGCAGGCUGCAACUCGCCUGCAUGAAGCCGGAAUCGCUAGUAAUCGCGGAUCAGCAUGCCGCGGUGAAUACGUUCCCGGGCCUU
rnacentral:rRNA from 1 species